CUCUGCAGUACAUCAUAUAGAGCUAUCACCUGUCCACACCUAGGUCCAGAAGCCCAUCUCACCUCUCUUCUAGCCACCCGACUCAACCAGUCACUGUACUACGCCGGCCAAAUGAGUCACAGCUGGCUCUCCUACCCUAGGCCUAGAUCUAGAUUGUCGGGCCCGUCAUCGUGACCGGUCAGUGAACCUGUACGAGUUCGCAUCAUGUUAGUACGGCAUGAGUAGGGGAAUGGCCGGUAGGCCUAAUCAAAAUUAAUUCAAAGUAGGAGCUUUGCAGGCCUUGGGAAUUGAGGGGAGGUGUUGGACGCAAUAAAGUCUACAGCAGCAGGAUAAGGCCGCGGUGCAAGAAACUGAUGCUAAAAUAAAAAGGAUAAGUGGAAGUGGUUUUGACAUUCCACAAUCGAGUGCGUAAAUGAGGGAACAUUAGAGCACCUCCAGGACUCUGUGCUGUGACCUGAUGUCUUCAGUGUGUCGCUUGUUUCAUCACAAAAGACAUUUAGGGCAAGGGAAACUUUCUGCUUUUCGGAACUUGAUGGGGAAAGAGUUGAUCUCAUUAGCUUAGACAGCUUGACUAACGAGCUCUCUUCUGCUCAAAAGAGUGCCUCCAAGUCACUCCACUUGGCCAGAGUUCUUUAGGAGCCUCCGGUAGCGGAAAGUUCAGAGUCUUGGUUUUUUUCUGUGAUCCAGUUGUUGCGGAUGUUUUUAAUGAGAUGAACAGGAUCGUAGAUCAAAAACAUCUUACGUGCCGAAUCUGUCAGGUAUUGGGCAAUCCAUGGCUCAUUGGGGUCUGGUGGAGGAAACAUUUUGAAGAGCGACUGAUUUAUUCUAUUGUUGUCCUUGAUCAACCCCACAACUUUUACAUCACGUUUCUCCUAUGACAAGAUAACCUCUCUCACACACUCAAACUGAAAGUCUGCCUUCAGUGCAUGACAUGGAGUGACUGUAGCAAUAAAUUUCUUUCCUACCAAAAAAACAACAACACUUGAAAAUAAUGCAGAACAGGGUCUUAGCAGCUUUUCCUUUGUCAUCUGCAGAAUAACCAAAGAUCACACUUCCUCUGUACGUUCUGCUGGCCUUCAAUUUCAUCUACAAUCAGGGUGCACCCUCUUUCUGCCUCAGUUUUCCCAUCAAACAGCGUUCUGUAAAAGACAUUAUGCGCCGUGCUUUUGACGAUCCAAUAGUUUUUCACGUGCAUAUCGGCUAAAAUUUGUCUACUCCCGAUAGAUAAUCUUCCUCCUUCCUUUCAUUCAUUCUUUCUUUCUGUCUAUCCUCGAAUUUUUGCUGCGGCUGGAAAAUCUGUGCAUUUAAUUCAUUUAUCUAGAAAGAAAAUCAGUAUCGGGAUAUUACGCUCAGCUUUCCCCAGUCCGAGAGUACGUUUCACACAAAUAAGUGGGUAGGGCGGCAGGCGGAAGUGUAGGUGUAAUACUGAGACUUCGUCGAGAAAAUCGAAAUCUACUUUUACUUUCGUUACGGCUCAGAAUUGUCCAAUGAUAGUUUGUUAACGUUAGAUUUACAGUUAAUAAAAAUUUGUAACCUGUAGUUUGUGCAAAAAAACACAGUGUCGCCAUACAAAUUAAAUCGAUAUUCUCACUGAUGUCACUAUAAUGGAAAAAAAAAAUAAUGAAGAAAAAGAAAGCAAGCGUCCUCCAACUUCUAGAUAUAUCUAGAUAUCUCGGUCUAGAUCUAGAUCUAGAUGUUUCCUUUUCUCAUCACUCCGUGAUUUUAUCGCUCCUACUGCUGCGGUUUCCUCUUGGGCUCCAGUCUUACCCCUUCAUGGGUUUCCUCUGCAGUACAUCAAAUAGAGCUAUCACCUGUCCACACCUAGGUCCAGAAGCCCAUCUCACCUCUCUUCUAGCCACCCGACUCAACCAGUCACUGUACCACGCCGGCCAAAUGAGUCACAGCUGGCUCUCCUACCCUAGGCCUAGAUCUAGAUUGUCGGGCCCGUCAUCGUGACCGGUCAGUGAACCUGUGGGAGUUCGCAUCAUGUUAGUACGGCAUGAGUAAGGGACCGGCCGGUAGGCCUAAUCAAAAUUAAUUAAAAGUAGGAGCUUUGCAGGCCUUCGUAAUUUAGGGGAGGUGUUGGACGCAAUAAAGUCUACAGCAGCAGGAUAAGGCCGCGGUGCAAGAAACUGAUGCUAAAAUAAAAACGAUAAGUGGAAGUGGUUUUGACAUUCCGCAAUCGAGUGCGUAAAUGAGGGAACAUUAGAGCACAGGCUUGAUGAUUGUAUCUUCAAGGUUGGUGUUCCCGGGUUUGUCGGAUUUGUCACUUAUGACAAAUUGAAUAGCAGCAAUGAGGAAAUGCCAUUUUCAACCCUUGGAAAGCUCUAUAUUGGAUGCAUAUGCAUCAUGAUGGCUUGUUGCUGAUUAACAACUAGUACUGUGAAUUAGCAUUUUGAAAAAAAUCAAUACUUAGUCCAUGAUGCAGUGAUUCACUGAUUGCCAUGUUUUCAACAUCACUACAUCCCACGCUCUCACAGUCCUUCCAGCUCAGUCUCUCAGCACACGCUCUCUUCUAUUGUCACAUUGUGCUCUGCCGUGAGCUUAACUCUAAAGGUUUUAUAAUUAAGUUUUGUCUUGCAUGUGUUUUAAAAUCUGUGAUUGCUGAAACCAAACAUGGUUUUGGCAGUUGAUGUUCUUCUUGCCUCUUAACAGACCCAGAUCAGGAUUCACUUUGUAUUUUUAGGGUAAAACGAGUUAAAAUUAAUUGUCUGUCAUACCUAAGUCACAAAGGACUAAUCAGAUAAGUGUCCUAUGCAAGUGUCGGGAAAUAUGUUUUACUAUAGUUUCUAUUGGUAUGGGCUAGGGGUUUUGAAGUCAAUUAGGCAAUCACCCUGGACUCAAUUCCAGAUUCAGUACUGAAUGAUAGGUGCCUUGAACGAUAGUCCAUAAAUGCUAAAAAAACAACUUGCCUCAUUUCUUACACACUGUUCAUCUUAACUUGUGCUCACCCAAACACCCCAUUCCCCUCCCCACAUAUAAACACACGCGAGAGCAAGAGCACAUGCACACACAGACACAAACACACACCUGUGCCUGCACAAACUAGUUUCAAAAUAUAAUUAUCCAAUAUCAUGGAAAGCAAGUGCGUUCGGUGGGGCAACGAUCAUCUUUUUUUUCCUUCUUUGUCUUUGUACUGUCUGAUUUUGGGCCAAAAUACCUGAAGCUGACCCUGAGUCUACCUGAAAUGAUAACUUUGAGGUAGGCAGCCCUGUAUUCACCACAAACAUGACGACAUUGCCAUCUUCCUUUUCAAAUUCAGAAGUCAAUGAAUUCAUGAAUGUUUUCACCAAUUCUCGAUAAAUUAAAGUUAAUAUCUUC